CAUUUCUAAAAACGGUCUCUGUACUCUUUGGGGAUUUUAGGCACUCAAGUUAUUCUUUUAAAAGAUUUCUGCUGACAUCCACGGGUCCUAUAAUUAACAUAUCAAGCCGCCAAAGGCCGGAAGUGUUCUGUCACCCCUAAAAAUACAGAACCCCUUCCUGAUCUUCCUCCAGUCUUGUUUUAGGAACCAUCAGACCACAUCCCACUCCUUCCACUCCGUUCUCUCUUGACAGAAUACAUCCACACCUCAGAUGUGAACGUUCAAGCCUUUUUCUUUUAUAAUUUUCCAAGUAAUGAACUCUACCCUCUAGGUUGGGGCCUGUGACAAGACAGACUUUAUCUGCCUUUUGUCCUGAACAGUCUCUCCCUGGCGCAUGCAGUCCCACACCCGCUGUUCCCACGCCUCCCCAAUCUUCAGGCCACCUCAUGUCCCAGCAGAUGUGUCAUCGGCAAGGAGACAUAUUUCACAGCCUCAAAUAUUCUCCAGUGGAUCAAUGCCCAGGUUGGACUUUUGUCAGGAAUGAUUUAUCGAAGAGAUACAUUUCCAUCAGAAUCUUCCUGAAGCAAUCAUCUCGGGGACGUAUGCUUAUUGGAUCUCAUUAUAAGUCCACAGCUUUGCUGCCAAGAUAUUAAGUAGUACCACACCUUUGAAAGCCACUUAUGGCUGUUCAUAAUGCAGCAGAGGUGGCUCAUUUCCCAGACCAGAUGUGAGGACUAGCUGAAUGCAGAGGGGACACAGAGGGGACGCAGAGGAUCGGUCACCUCCCCAGUGAAGACACCUGACUUCAUUGUGUGACUUGCAUUAUAGUUGUUCAUCUUUGGGGAGCGGGGUGGUGCCGUCACUGGCUUGGGAUGUUUACCAUAUCUUCCACCUCAAACACUCCUUGGAGCUUUGUGGAGACGAUAUUCUCAGCCCUCCUCUCCAGCUCUGUCUGAAGGACACUUCCACUCCGUGGAGAAUCCCAGUCACAGUGCCACAUUUUGUCAUCUCAAAGAUGUCAUUCUACUGCCAUCUGGCUUCCGUCAUCUCCAAUGAAAGGUUGGCUGUUGACCUAACUGCUUUUCCUCUGAGGCAUUUCCCAUCACCUCAACUGCUUCAGGAGUUGAAUUUCAAGUUAGUCUGGUUCUAUUAUUUUACAAACAGCAAUGCCAUUCCUCCCUUCUCCCUUCCCUCCCUCCUUCCCUUCUUCUACCCCUCCCUUUUCCCUCCUUCCCUUCCUUCCUCCUUUCUUCCCUCCCUCCCUCUGCCUCCUCUUCUUUCCCCCUCUUCCUUCUCUCCCUCUCUUUGUCUCCAACUUAGCUAGAAUUUUGAACCGACUCAGUCUCCCAAAGCACAUGUGUGCAUUUAUUCUACCUUUAGGUACUUUAUGUUCUACAAAUCAUAUACACGGUUUUCAACUUGUAGGUGCCCCCAAGUAAU
rnacentral:lncRNA from 1 species